UACGUAGGGUGCAAGCGUUAAUCGGAAUUACUGGGCGUAAAGCGUGCGCAGGCGGCUUUGCAAGACAGAUGUGAAAUCCCCGGGCUCAACCUGGGAAUUGCAUUUGUGACUGCAUGGCUCGAGUGCGGCAGAGGGGGAUGGAAUUCCGCGUGUAGCAGUGAAAUGCGUAGAUAUGCGGAGGAACACCGAUGGCGAAGGCAAUCCCCUGGGCCUGCACUGACGCUCAUGCACGGAAAGCGUGGGGGAGCAAACACGG
rnacentral:rRNA from 1 species